rnacentral:rRNA from 1 species
UCGCCCCAUCUAUCCUCCUGAGGAGUAGCUCAAUUUUGUACUGGAUCGGGGCAUCCUAUUAGUAAACCCAUUUGGACAGAUUUAUCAGAUUGGGAUAUUCUUGAUCGAUUUGGUCGGAUAUGUAGAAAUCUUUUUCAUUAUCAUAGUGGAUCUUCGAAAAAACGGACUUUGUAUCGACUAAAGUAUACCCAUUGUCAUUUCCAAAAUUCCAACUGCUUUAUUCAUUUGGAAAAAAUCAAAAAAGGAUAUAUAGGGAAUAGAUAA